GAGAAUUUUACAAUCCUAAUAUACAGAAAGAGUAUAUACACUACAUAUACCAAACACAGUCGACCUAUGGGAAGUAAGAAUGCCCCAUUUUAUUAAAAUUAUAAUCAGUAAUCUUAGUGGAACUGUAAGCCAUGACAAUAUAUUUUAUUUUAAAAAAUGAACAGUUGUGUAACACAUUUAGAUCACAAACCACUCACCUUUGUUGACCUUGGAUCCUUUAUUUUUAAAAUUUUACUUUUUUCACAAGGUAUAGCCUGAUCAAGGUUUCUUCUCCUUCAUCUCCCCCCAAGUCCUCCUUCACACUCAUCUAGCGUUUCCCCUUCUUGCUCUGUCUCUUUAGAAAACAAAGACUCAAACAAUACCAAAACAGACAAACCAAAAUAGAGCCAAAUCAGCCAACAGAAAAAAAGAGAGGAAGAUAAGCACCUGAAGCUCACUCAUACACAGAUACAAAUGCAGACAUAGACAACCCACAAAACGCAAAGCUAGAAAAUUAAAAUUAUAUAUAAUUAAAAUUAAUAUUAUAUAAGUAUAAUAUAAUAUAGUGCAAAAAUUAAAAAUAUAAGUAUAUAUGUAUGUAUGUAUAUGUGUAUGUAUGUCUGUAUAUAUGUCAUACCUGAAUAAGAUUAAAGAAAAUGUCCAUGACACUAAAUCUUCCAAAUUUACCACUGAGUUCUUAGUGAGUUGUCCUUUGUUGAACAAUGAAAUAAAAGAUUGUGUGUAUAUUAGAGCCCCUUCACACCCUGUUUUCUUUUGUACCCUCAGAACAGAUGCCUUCCUCACUGGUCACCAGGUUCAAGGUCCCUCAUAUGUGUCAGGUGCAUAGUCACCAACGUAAGUCGAAGUUCUUGGUUUGAAUUCUUUCUUCUGUUUUUAUAAAGGCAUUUCCUAGAAUUUAAAGACCAUUGGUCUAGGGAGAAGUAUGCUGUGGCCAUGAAAUGCUUGGUUGACUAAUUAAUAUUAUUGAAAUUAAGUUUAAUUUAAGCAGACAUAAUAACCUUAGGCAAAGGAGCUAAAAUAUUUAUGUAAAUUAUAAUUAAAGAUGUUUUUCAUGAUUAAUAAUAAUCAGCUAAUAAACAAUAAUAAUGAAAGUUUAUCGGAGAAACCAGAGGCGGAGGUUGGAUCAGUGGUGACAUCUUGUUGGAGGUGAGCAGUGGAGCAGGAGAACAGGUCCGGAAGUCUGAGUCCCAUCCCUUACAGGCAUCUCCUGUGCUUUCCUCCGAGGUGUGCUCAAACAAGCAUGUUACCUUUCCGAUUGUGAAAGUGUGAAAAUUAUGUAAUGUGUACAUUAGAACAAAGCCGGUCAGCAGUGUUGAGCAUGAGACUCUUGCCAACUGAGACACAGUAAUAAUCCAGGAAACCAUGUGCAUUUAGAAAUAAAUAAGUACAAAUUACAAUAAAAGUUAAGCAAACAAUAACAAGAGAAAUGAAUUUCUUAAUGAUACUACUAGCUAAGGACAAUGCAUUUACCAAAAAUAAUGGCAAGUCCUUGUCUUGUUCAGGGCUUAAGCAUUUAUUAUUGCCUUGUCAAGUCAACAAACCUAAGAGAAUUUUGCUCCUGCCCAUGUGACUAAUAAAAUAGAAGGGGGAAUGAGAGAAUAAUUGGCUAUAAUACAAGUCUCCUUCUUGGUACUGUCAGCAUAGACGCUUUCGUUGUGAUAUUCACAUUAUGACUCCCCAGAACACAGAGACUCAUGUUAGAAUGCUCAAAUCCCCUGACUUAAUUUGGGAGGUUUUAAAAGCUUAAAGUAUCACGCAGAAUCUAUUAAAACCAACUACACUGAUUAGAAAUAAGCAUGGCCUUCCACCACUAAGCUCAUUAAAGCUUGCACAAUUGAGAACC
ensembl:processed_transcript Rian RNA imprinted and accumulated in nucleus